CUACUGGCUGGUUUUGGCCAGUGUUGCAAUGGAAAGAGAGCUAGAAUGCAUGAGGGCACUAUGCCUGUAUCUGUGUUCACUCAAUGGCUUUUCAUGGAACAGAGGCAAUGAGCGGAAUGCAGGCAGGAGUCUUGAUGCUGGAGCUGGCGGUUCCUGAUUCACGGUUCGCGGCUCAACUAGUCUGGAGCACCUGGAUGGACUGAUCAAUGGUUCUUGGCUCAACUAGUCUGGA
rnacentral:lncRNA from 1 species